GUGGGUAUAGCUCAGUGGUAGAGUUCGUGCUUAGCAUGCAUGAGGUCCUAGGUUCAAUCUCCAGUACCUCCA
rnacentral:tRNA from 1 species